rnacentral:lncRNA from 1 species
GCUUGCUGUGGUUGGUUUCCUGAUGUGAACUUGGCUGUUCUUCUCAGAGGAGAAGCUCAGGGCAUCGCUGUCGCUGGGAAUGGCUGCUGUUCUCGUCAGGGAGCUCUGAUCUUCACUGUGAGCAGCACUUCCUGCCUCCAUUAUGGAUCCCUCCACCUGGUGGCACAGAUUCUUCACCCCAAUGGUGCAGGUUUUCUGGCUUCCACCACUGGGCUUUGGGCCUUCCGGGUGCAGAUUCCCAAUAUGGACAAGCAUGAGACAUUGCCAUGGGCUCUAGGCCUCUGGCUGAACUCGUGGAGGACAUUGCCUUGCACUCUAGGCCUUCAGCUGGUCUUGUGAGGGACAUUGCUGGGGGAUCCAGGCCCUCAGCUGGAUUCUUCGGAUCUCUAGUGUACUUCCCGAUUCUGAGCCUUGUGGCUGUCAGUGCCUGCACUGUCCACAUAGAGGGGGCCAGGAGGCUCCUCACCUGUAUGAGAACUGCUGUCGCUGGCCAGGUGCUAAGUGGCACCACCCUACACCCUGGAGGCGCAGGGAGCUGCUCCAGCACUGUCGUGAUCCGAGAGUCUGUGAGCCCCAGCACACCUAACCUGAGCGUCAGACACCCUCCCCUCCUUCCUCCAUCUCAAAGGCCUGCAGCUUCAUUUCCCCUACAAGAAACAGGACACCACCCAGAGGCCCUCCAGGCUUGCCCCUUCUGGUCCUGGGGCUCCUCCUGCCCUGCUGCCU